CUUUUAAAAAAAAUUAUAGCUUCACUGGGUAUCAGGGCUUAGAUGAUAAACACGGGUCAACCAUCACCAGCCACUCAUCUACUCUUCUCUUUGUGAUUAUCCUGUGUAGGCGAUUCUAAAUUUAUCUCAAGAUCAGGAUUAAGCAGAAAAAAAAAAAAAAACCCAAAAAUGGUCUUGGCAACAUCACUACUCUGGCUGCUUGUGGAAGCAACAAGUGACUUCAUCUAACAUUCACUUGCGUAAGGCAGUUCCGAAGUGGGAACACUCACCUGCCCAUGACAGUUGCCAGGAGACCAGAGGCUCUGCUGGGGAAAUCCCUUGGUCUGCCAAAGCGUUUUUCUUUCCGCAUAAAAGGUCAGUCGGCUCCUAGGGGCAAGUGUGGAAUUACAGAAGGUGUCGAGGACUAAGCACAAGCCGGCUGCUAUCGGCUGCUUUCCAACAACGCUGUAAAGCUUCUCCUUGAGUCACGGCUCUUUUUUCAGACGUUCCAUAGCAGCUGGAGAACUCCAGAAGUGUGAGUCUCCGUUUCCGGUCCUGAGAGCUCACACACCACCUGGGAGCCUCCUGCCCCAGACACCGGCCUGGACAGGCCAGCCUCUCCCUCGAAGUCUCGAGAAGGGGUUGUUUCAGAAGGCUGCAGGUGUGUGCGGAGUUUGUCGCUGGGAUGGCGCGCUGGUGGGAAGACAGCCCACGGGUGUCGCCCUCCAUCAAGGUCAAGUUAUCCAGCCUGGCUCGUGCUGCCCGGAGUUUGCUACGAUUGGGACCCAGCAGGUUUGGAGUGAUGCCAGCAUCCUGUGGAGUCAGAAGAAAAGGCUGAGAAUAGGAAGUAUAUUGACCCAAUUUAUGGGACAAAGUGCAAUAGAGGUGACAGAACAAGCUACCAAAGGUGUUCGCUCUGUGAAGACUUUUUAGGACAAGAGAUUUGGGACAAUGAAGUACAAAUGGAACCCGUGGUCAGGGUCAAAAGAAGUCUCUUUUGACUCCUUUUGAUAGAGCAACUCCUUUUGGUUGCUGGGUAAAAUAAAGUCUUUGCAUUUGG
ensembl:lncRNA